ACCCGGUGCUUGCACCGGUGAUUAGUGGCGAACGGGUGAGUAACACGUGAGUAACCUGCCCUUAACUCUGGGAUAAGCCUGGGAAACUGGGUCUAAUACCGGAUAUGACUCCUCAUCGCAUGGUGGGGGGUGGAAAGCUUUAUUGUGGUUUUGGAUGGACUCGCGGCCUAUCAGCUUGUUGGUGAGGUAAUGGCUCACCAAGGCGACGACGGGUAGCCGGCCUGAGAGGGUGACCGGCCACACUGGGACUGAGACACGGCCCAGACUCCUACGGGAGGCAGCAGUGGGGAAUAUUGCACAAUGGGCGCAAGCCCGAUGCAGCGACGCCGCGUGAGGGAUGACGGCCUUCGGG
rnacentral:rRNA from 1 species